rnacentral:rRNA from 1 species
GUUUGAUCAUGGCUCAGGACGGACGCUGGCGGCGUGCGUAAUACAUGCAAGUCGAGCGGACCUUCGGGUCAGCGGCGGACGGGUGAGGAACACGUGAGUCAUCUGUCGGUGGGUGGGGGAUAUCGGGCCGAAAGGCGCGGCAAUCCCGCAUACGUUCCUUCGGGAAGAAAGCUGGGCAACUGGCGCCCGCCGGGGAGCUCGCGGCCCAUUAGCUAGUUGGUAGGGUAACAGCCUCCCAAGGCGACGAUGGGUAGCCGGCCUGAGAGGGUGAACGGCCACACUGGGACUGAGACACGGCCCAGACUCCUACGGGAGGCAGCAGUAGGGAAUCUUCCACAAUGGGCGCAAGCCUGAUGGAGCAACGCCGCGUGAGUGAAGACGGCCUUCGGGUUGUAAAGCUCUGUCUGUCGGGACGAAGACCGGGACGGGAGUCCCGGGGAGCCGGUACCGACGAAGGAAGCCCCUGCAAACUACGUGCCAGCAGCCGCGGUAAGACGUAGGGGGCAAGCGUUGUCCGGAAUUACUGGGCGUAAAGGGCGUGUAGGCGGUGCGAUACGUAGCGGUU